GCACCAGUGGUCUAGUAGUAGAAUAGUACCCUGCCACAGUGCAGACUCGGGUUCGAUUGCCGGCUGGUGCA
rnacentral:tRNA from 1 species